CAGCAGCCGCGGGAAUACGUAGGUGGCAAGCGUUGUCCGGAAUUAUUGGGCGUAAAGGGCUCGCAGGCGGUUUCUUAAGUCUGAUGUGAAAGCCCCCGGCUCAACCGGGGAGGGUCAUUGGAAACUGGGAAACUUGAGUGCAGAAGAGGAGAGUGGAAUUCCACGUGUAGCGGUGAAAUGCGUAGAGAUGUGGAGGAACACCAGUGGCGAAGGCGGCUUUUUGGCCUGUAACUGACACUGAGGCGCGAAAGCGUGGGGAGCAAACAGGAUUAGAUACCCGAGUAGUCCCUGUCUCUUAUAC
rnacentral:rRNA from 1 species